AAACUUUUUCGAAAGAAAAAAAAAUCUGUUCUUAUCAGUUUAAUAUCUGAUAUGUCCUCUAUACGAGGACAACAUAUUAAGGUGAUUUUUAGAACUGGGGGCCGAAAAAGGGGCUUGCUCCGUUCGCUCCACGCAUCGACCCGGCAUUGCAGUACCGCCAGGUACGGUGCAACCUUC
rnacentral:snRNA from 1 species